ensembl:lncRNA
GCAAAAGGAGCGGCCCACAUUGUCACCAGCCCAGUCGUUUCUACGGUAGAUUAAAUUCCUCUGAAGGAUGCUCUUUAUCCUUUGUGGAACUUCUGAGCAGAAGAUUUUCUGACAAGUGUUUGCUGAAGAUUUCUUUGCGAUGUUGUAGUUGGAGCUGGUGGGGAGAGACGGUUUCUUACCCUGGUGGUUGCGAGAUGGCAAAAAUGCAAAGGCUGCCCUUUGUGCUGACACCAUCCUGUAGGAGAUUAGGAGCAGAGUAAAGGAAGUGGGAUGUGCAUCAUGUAUAAUUUAUCAGCACAUUGAAAACAAAUUGAACAGCACGCUGGACAGUCAACCACUGCACAGCAGCACCGAUGUGGGAGAAAAUGCCUUUCUCAAACCCUUAAGAAAAAGAUCGAUCACUUGUAAAACCAAUUUUUUGGUGUAAUCCGAACUGCGUUUUCCCAUUCUGAUCCUGAACUCUGCCUUGUGGGUUCUGCCACUAAAGAGCCUUCAGAAAUGCAUAAAUGAAUAUGUGAUGAGAGAAUCAUCUACCGGAUGCUGUUUUAACCACUUCCGAAAGGAUCUAAAAGUGUACACCGAGCUCUGGCCCUUCAGCGACUUCAAAAAAGUCCAGAUACAUCCACCAAAUGGAGAUAAAUUUAGCGAUAAUGAGAUACUAAGUUGGCGCCUAAGACAGUCACUCCUUUUCAGCUUCACUGAUGCAAGGAUUUUCAAUUCAAGAAGCAAGAGGUAUCGCCUGAUAAGUAGUUUCCUACAAUAGGAGUGAAUCAAAGCAGACCCUCUUCAGCAUGAGUGCACUCAGGGGUCAUGACUGUGGAAGCUGCCAUGAUUCAACCCUGUUGAGCAAUGGGCCGUCAGAGACAGGAAGCUGCCUUGUUUAUUCAAAGCUCUCAUUUGAAAGAUUCAUUUUCACUUCCGUCUGACUAUUGGACCACGGUCUGCAUUUGGUCCACCACCCUCACCUCUGGUACUGGAAAAUAAUUUUCCUUCUGGUGGUCUGAAAUGAAGGCUCUAGCAGUAAUAAAGAUCAGUAAGUUAAAACCUGUGAAUAGAGGUCAUCAAACAUUUCAGAGGCGAUAAUAGGGACAACCCCAAGUUCAGAAUAGCAGGUUUCAUUCAUGGUCAUUUUAUAUAUUAAGAACUCCUCUUUCCUGCUUUUACCUCUUGAUCUUGGCCAUACAGGGGUAUGCAUUUUCAUAUGCAGUUUUUGCAUCCUUUUAAUAAAUGAUUGCUGCUGCUGCUGCUGCUAUUUAAAGGAUGACGAAGUUACGAGGUGUAUCUCUUGGUACCUGUUUUAGAGAUGCGAAAACCAAGGCUCUGAGACACUUGUUAAAAAGUGGCUGAAUUAACUUUGCUUCACUUUUUGUUUUUCUCUCCUCCUGUGUCUCUACCUCUUUCUUCCUCUGAUUCUGCUCCUCACUGUACCUUCUUGGCUUUGUUCCUUUUCACCCUUCAUUUUGUUCUUCUCCCUUUGUGUGUUACUCUUCCGCUUAUUUUAUUUUUUCUCAUUUCCCUUAUGUAUAUCAAAAAUAACUUUUAAGAAGUUGCUGUCUCUCAUGAUUUUUUAAGAUUUUUAUACCUGUUUUUAAAGACAGUUAUCGAUUUUUUUUUAAAGCUGUCGAAUUAAGUUGCCCUUUGGGAGUUCCCGCUGUGGUACAGUGGGUUGAGGAUCUAGCAGUGGAGCGAGUCUGAUCCUGUCUCUGCAGUGGAGCGAGUCUGAUCCCUGGCCCGGUGCAGUGGCUUAAGGAUCCAGUGUUGCUGCAGCUGUGGCGUAGGUUUCAAUUGUGGCUUCAAUUUGAUCCCUGGCCUGGGAAUUUCCAUAUGCCAUAGGUGCAGCCAAAAAAAAAAAAAAAGUUGCACUUUGACCAGUGAUUUCACUUGCCUCCCGGGCAUGACUACCUGACGGGAAACAUAGUUAUUCUUUUGGUUACUCUUGGAUAAGAGAAAGAGGCAACUCACUGAUACACAUCUUGGAAUUUUUCGUUUUCACUGAUAGACAAUUCGACGUUCACUAACAAGUGGUCUGGUUUUAAAAGACAUCGUAGAGUAAUUACCAUUUCGAUUGUUUUAAAUCUGUCUUCUCAGAGUUCAAAACCUGCUGUAACCUAUUCUUGGAGAGUCCAGUGAAUUAAGUUGGACCCUUUUCAAAGGCAACCGGAAGAGGUCAGAGCUCCCUCCCGGGCUCCGGGGCUGGGCAGAGGCUGUGCACAGCUGGCCCCCAGCCUGCUUCUGUGUGACCAUCUCACACGGGCUGUCCCUUUGCAGUUUGUACCUGCCCCCUCCCCAUGUAACCCCUUGCCCUUUUUCCUUUUUCUUAAAAGAUCAUGUGCUGUUAACUUGAAGAAGGGAAACUGAAAAUGAGGCAUUCAGAACAACAACAACAGGCUUGAAAUUGAAUACCAGACCAUAUUUAAGAAAUUCCCAUCGUCAGGGUCCAACAGCUUGUGCCUGGCAGCCCAUCAGUGGUCCAUGACCUGCCUCCUCUCUUCCUUUGAUGGCUCCUAGUAACUUAAAAAUUCUGAGCUCUUAAGUUAUGCAAAGCCCUAUGACUUUCUCUGGCCCUGAUGCCCGGUUCUGAACCUCCUUUUGCUUAUCGAAAAAAAUCAUUAAUAUUUUCUAGCUCCAAGUCUUUGCUUUCCCCUUUCUCUACAAGGCCUCACAGUGCAGGGGAAGUAUGUAGAUUUUUUUUUCCCCCCCGCUGAGUUAAAUUUCACCCCCCCCUUCCCUCCCAAAGAAGGCAGCCAUGGCUUUUAAAUAUUUUCCACUCCUCUUUUGCAUGUAGAAUUAAAGCCAAAACAAAUUAUGGUAAUCUUAGCUUUUUAGUUGAAGAGAUUUUGGAUGAGUUGAAGUUUACUGCAACUUUAACAUUUUUUAGUUUGACAAUAUAGUCGGGUAACACAAUUUUCAUUUUCACAGAUUACUUUUCUGAGCCUAUUUGCAGACCAAAGCAUGGCAAAUACAUGAAUAAGUUUCACUUCUUUUCUCUGUGUAGGAAACUUUUCAUGUUAAAUAGGAUUCUUAUACACUCAAAGGGAUAUGCUGCAUAAUUUUCCACCUAGUGCCACAUAAGUUGGAUUUCUUAUUCAUCACACACCAUAUGCGGUGUUAUUAAUCUUUACUGUAAGUAGAAUGACAAGUGAGCAAUAAAAGCAGGCCUUAAAUAACUACCAACAAAUAAUACAGAAAAAAAAUUCCCCUAACAGAUGCUUAAGAAAGAAGUGACAGUCAGUGAAAUUUGGGUUACUUGUAUGUUGCAUAACUGAUGUGCUGCUGUGUACCCUCAAUAUGGUCCACGGUUUUCACUUCAGAUCGUUGUGUGGAGUCCAUUCUUUUCUCCUUUUCCCUCCUCCAUCUCUCUUCCAUUUUCUCCUUCUUCUUCCUCCUCCAUACUUUCCACACCUCUUAACUCCUAUCAGAAAAUCUUCUCUGGGUGGGAACCAUCUGACUCUUUCCUCCUUUCCAUUCUUCAGGCAGGUGUUGCCUUUGUCUCUAACCAAGGACCCAGACAUGCCCCUCAUCUGUAUCCAAGGUCCCUAAGCAUGCCCAUCAUCUGCAUCCAUGGUCCCAAGCAUGCCCAUCAUCUGUAUCCAAGGUCCCAAGCAUGCCCAUCAUCCGUAUCCAUGGUCCUAAGCACACCUAUCUUCCUUGGACUGGGUUGAGAAUAGCCUUUAGAGUACAAGACGCCACUCUUGCUUGAUGCUUCCUGUCCCUGUGUCCUUUGUCUUCCUUGCCCAUUUUGACAGUCCACUGCCGCUCUUGGGGUUGUUUGGGCUAUUGUUAUUGAUGUCUCCUCUGCCAGCUGCACCUUGGACUCAUUCCUGGGUCUUACCUUGCCACCAUUUAUCCUGGUCCUGGGCUUGGUGCUUUAUAGCCCUUGCUUCUUGGCUGCCUGCUGCCUGAAACAACUGUGUUUGGGGUGAAUUGAUGCUGUUGUUUUUCUUCUGUCUCCAUUGCUUAUCCAUGCCCUCCCCUAGUGAAUGAAAACUUUUCUAUGGGUGCAUCUUUUUUUUAUUUUAUGAAAGUAUAAUUUAUUUAAAGUGUCUUAAUUUCUGCUCUACAGCAGAGUGAUUCAGAUGUCUGAAUAUCUAUAUAGCUUUUUAUAUUCUUUUCCAUUAUGGUUUAUCACAAGAUAUGGAAUAUAGUUCCCCGUGCCGUACAGUAGGACCUUGCUGUUUCUCUCUUCUAUGUAUAAUAGUUUACAUCUGCUAAUCUCAAACACUCUUCCUGCCCUCCCACCUUGCUCAGCAACCACAAGUCUGUUCUCUGUGUCAGUGAGUCUGUUUCAGUUUCGUAAAUGUGUUCAUUUGUGUCAUAUCUUAGAUUUAUAGGCGCAUCUUGACAGUUUCAUGUGCUGAGCCAUGGUGAGCUCUGCAAAGAAGACCAACCCCAAAGCAGAAGGGCCUGGUAAUAUCACUAUGGAAAGUAGGUUAAAGGAUCUUGACUGUGCCUACAGUUUGAUUUUGAACUUUUCAGAUGAGCUUCAUAUGUGCACAGUGAUGUAGAGACCAUGCCUACUGCAAGCCUCAUUGCCUUCUGUUGCAUCUUGUAAAGAACCAAGAAAAUACAGUUUACAAAUAUCCUUAAAUACUUGGAUGGCAAAGUAAAUGCCUUGCUGUUGAUUUAUUAUUGUGGCCUAUCAGCGCUAGUAUUGUGUAUCUUUUUCUUCUAAUAAAUUGCUUUGUAGCCAGGGUUUUGCUUUUUAAAGACAUGUAAGUGACUGGAAUGGACUUUAGCAAUAGAAGUCUAAAUUUCCAUUUUCCUUGAUGCUAAGACUACAAGGCAUUUUGGUGAGAGAGUAGAGGGCAGAAUUUGACUUCCCAAAGCUUCAAGUGAACUUCUUUUGGUAGUUUCUUCCCACGUGAUUUUUCUGGUGCUUUUUAAACAUUCAGUAAUGUUGUUGUUGGUUUGUUUUCUGGGGCAUGAGAAGUUUUAUUCACUGCUAGAUGCUCUUGAGCCAGAAAUUUAACUUCUCUUUCCCCUGCCCAUAAGAUAUUAAUUAUUGGAAUUAUUCCUGACUUUUUUCAUAGGGAUGUCAUGAUGCUUUGGACUACAUGUCCUGUUUAAAUGCAAAGUACAUCAUGAUAAUGGGAUUUUUAUUAUUUUCUUUAAUGUCAAAUCUUCGCUUACUAAUUUUUAAUUAGGUUAGCUGUGUUGAAGAUAUUUAUGCUCAUGAGUCAUUUUAAUUUUCUUUUCUUUUAUUUAUUUAUUUAUUUUUAUCUUUUCUAGGGCCCCUCCCCCUUCAUAUGGAGGUUCCCAGGCUAGGGGGUGAAUUGGAGCUGUAGCCGCUGGCCUACACCAGAGCCACGGCAACGCGGGAUCUGAGCCGCAUCUGCAACCAGAUCCAGAGCAAUGCCGGAUCCUAGCCUUGUCUUCAGCCUACACCACAGCUGUAUCCUUAACCCACUGAGCAAGGCCAGGGAUCGAACCCGCAACCUCAUGGUCCAUGGUCAGAUUCGUUAACCACUGCGCCACGAUGGGAACUCCCUUUCUUUUAAUUUUAUGGGCACACCUAGAGUAUAUGAAAAUUCCUGGGCCAGGAAUUGAACUCCGAGCCACAACUGUGAGCUGCUCCACAGCUGCAGGCAAUGUCGGGAUUGAACCCACACCUCCAGCAACCCGAGCUGCUUAGUUAGAUUAUUAAUCUGAUGCACAAUGGUGAGAACCCCAGUCAUUUUUCUUAAUAAGAUCAUAGGUGUAUUCCCUUUGUUUUUACUUUAGAAAUGAGGAAAAAGCAGUUCUAUGAAGAAUAGGAAAUACACUGUCCAGAGAAUGAAAGCCUCUGAGUUAAUGUAGUCAGUAAAAUAUGCAGGCAUACAACUGUGUUCAGAACACCAGAAAAUUACAUGAACAGGAAGGCAGCACAGCAAUGAGAAUGGCCCUGGGGUCUGAUCUUGACACUGUCUCUCAUAAGCUGUGUGCUCCCUGCUAAGUCGUGAGUUAUUUUUUCAUUUAUAACAUGAUUCAUUUGAGCUUGCCAAUUCCCAAAUUCCCUUGUGUUCGGUCAUCUUAAAAUCAAGCAUCAGAGUUCCCGUUGUGGCUUAAGAACCAGACUAGUAACCAUGAGGAUAUGGGUCUGAUCCCUGAGUCAGUGGGUUAAGGAUCUGGUGUUGCCCUAAGCUGUGGUGUAGGUUGAAGAUAAGGCUAGGAUCUGGCAUUGCUCUGGCUGUGGUGUAGCCUGGCACCUGUAGCUCUGAUUCGACCCCUAGCCUGGGAACUUCCCUAUGCUGCAGGUGGGGCUGUAAAAAGACAAAAAACAAAACAAAACAAAACACCCCAAACCAAGUAUCCACUUGCCCUGUCUUCUCUGCUUCUCCCUUCCGUGUCAGUUCUUGGAUUUGGCCCUCUGCAAGGGAGCUGAUGUAGACCUCAGUGAGCUGAUUCUCUGUGGCAUUUAAGUUGCUGAUAAAAAAAAACUCCAGUUUGUAGUUCCCUGGUGGUGCAGAGGGUUAAGGGUCCUGUGCUGACACUGCCGUGACUUGGGUUGCGGCUGUGGCGUGGGUUUGAUCCCUUGCCCUGGAAUUUGCGCAUUCCACAGGCACUGUUAAAAAAAAAAAAAAAAA